rnacentral:rRNA from 1 species
AACGAACGCUGGCGGCGUGCCUAACACAUGCAAGUCGAGCGCGAAAAGGGCAACCUGAGUAGAGCGGCGCACGGGUGCGUAACACGUGGGUAAUCUGCCUUAGAGUCGAGGAUAACCUUCCGAAAGGUUGGCUAAUACUCGGUAAGCUUACGGUGUCUUCGGACGCUGUGGGAAAAGCAGGCCUCUGUUUACAAGCUUACGCUCUGAGAUGAGCCCGCGGCCCAUCAGGUAGUUGGCGGUGUAACGGACCACCAAGGCAACGACGGGUAGCUGGUCUGAGAGGACGAUCAGCCACACUGGAACUGAGACACGGUCCAGACUCCUACGGGAGGCAGCAGUGGGGAAUUUUCCACAAUGGGCGAAAGCCUGAUGGAGCAACGCCGCGUGUGUGAUGAAGGUUUUCGGAUCGUAAAGCACUUUCGACUGGGACGAAAAACCUUUGGCUAACAUCCAGGGGCCCGACGGUACCAGGAGAAGAAGCACCGGCUAACUCUGUGCCAGCAGCCGCGGUAAAAC